UGGGGAAUUUUGGACAAUGGGGGAAACCCUGAUCCAGCCAUCCCGCGUGUGCGAUGAAGGCCUUCGGGUUGUAAAGCACUCUUGGCAGGAAAGAAACGUCAUGGGUUAAUACCCCGUGAAACUGACGGUACCUGCAGAAUAAGCACCGGCCAACUACGUGCCAGCAGCCGCGGUAAUACGUAGGGUGCAAGCGUUAAUCGGAAUUACUGGGCGUAAAGCGUGCGCAGGCGGUUCGGAAAGAAAGAUGUGAAAUCCCAGAGCUCAACUUUGGAACUGCAUUUUUAACUACCGGGCUAGAGUGUGUCAGAGGGAGGUGGAAUUCCGCGUGUAGCAGUGAAAUGCGUAGAUAUGCGGAGGAACACCGAUGGCGAAGGCAGCCUCCUGGGAUAACACUGACGCUCAUGCACGAAAGCGUGGGGAGCAAACAGG
rnacentral:rRNA from 1 species